UCACUACGCCAUGCCGUUAGAAGUGAAGCUACGUAUCGACAUGAACGAGAACGCAAGGGGGGUGGCGGGGGAAAUAGAAUGCAUAAGAAUCCAUAAGAAAACCAAAAGAUGAAGUAUGUGAUGUCUUUCCUCCAGAAUAUCAAGCAAGAGAUCAUCAUCCGCGAUUAUUCAGUUUAUCGAUAGUGAAGAAAGCCGCAAACAACUUAACCAAGAAACAAAACAUGCAUGAGAGAGAAGGCACAGACUUUGUCAUAAAACAAUUUGAUGGAACGCAAAAAGCCACAGAUUGGAGUAUGAAAUAUUCAUAUUUCACAUAAGCAUCCCUUCCAUACUCUAAUAUGAGUAUGAAACCGAAUACGAAAAAUACAAAAUCCAAACUGAUGAAAAAAGGAUCAAGAAUUUGAAGAAAUAUUUGGGAAAAAUAGCAUCAGAAUGAUACCAAGCAAAUCUGCUGAAGGAUGAAGAAUACAACUGGGAAAAUUGGAAGGUUCAUUCACUGAAUAUGUCAUAAAAAAGGAAUGAUUAAUAUUGGAAGUAAGGAGGAAGACUUCUGAAGAGACAGGGAUAAAUCUAAUUGUUAUUGGAUUACCCAUACACAUUCAAGAUAAAAUCGAUAAAGAAACAGUACAAUCAACAAAUGGCUUAAUCAGAUUCUUGGGGCAAUAUCAGA